rnacentral:lncRNA from 1 species
UUUUGUCAUAUCUCUUCUUUUCUUUCUUUCUUCUUCCUUGUUCUUCUGUUUUCUUCUAAUCUCUCUCUUCCUCUUUCUUUCUUCUUUAUUAUUCUUUCUUCUUCCUCUCUCAUUUGACCAAGGGAUAGGCUAAGUCUAGCAUUGUCAUAAUAGUCUUGUCGUCGAGUAGUUUAGUCACCGUGCUGGUUUGAAUUGCAGUGGCAGCAAGGCCCGUCUUGCUGCCACGUCAGACUAGCCAUCAUGCCAGGCUGGUUGGUGUAGGUUCUGUCGUCGAGUAGUUAAGCCGUCAUGCCGGUCUGAGUUAUCGUUUCCGUCUUGCUACCACACAAAAUCAGUCACUGUAUUAGUCUAGCUACUGUGUCAGUCUAACCACUUGGUCAAAUUUCUCUUUUUUCUCGUUCCUCUAUUCUAUUUCUUCCUUCUCAUUUUGUCACCCCAAUCUCUAUCCUCUUAUUUUUUCCUUCUUCUUUUGAAUGCGCACGCUCACGUGCAUUUGCCCAAAGACAAGAUGGGGUCCCUUGGCCCACUUGUCUUGUAAAAUUAACCAUGUAUGUGUGAUCGUAGAAUCAGGAGAGUACAAGUCAAGGGAGGCGAUUUCGAACCAGUUGUAGGACUGGGGGGCUGUCCGUCGUGAUCUAAGAGAACGCCC